GCUGGGCAUGGUGGCGUGUGCCUGUAGUCCCAGCUACUCGGGAGGCUGAGGCAGGAGGAUUGCUUGAACCCAGGAGGCGGAGGUUGCAGUGAGCCAAGAUCAUGCCACUGCACUCUAGCCUGGGCAAUAGAGCGAGACUCUGCCUCAA
ensembl:misc_RNA Metazoa_SRP Metazoan signal recognition particle RNA